GCACCAGGCCCAGCACGGCCAGCGGGGCCAGGGAGGGAUUGUCCUGCUCUGCUCUGGGGGCCUCACCUCGAGUGCUGUGGGCAGGUUUGGGCAGCACAGUGUAAGGAAGAUCUCAAAGUGCCAGAGAGAGCCCAGAGGAGGCCACGAGGAGAGCGAAGGCCGUGAGGGGAAGGCGUGUGAGGAGCUGCUGAGGGCACUGGCUCUGGGCAGGGAGAGGAGGAGGCUGAGGGGACUCAUUGCAGUCUGCAGCUCCCUGGUAGAGGAGGGGGAUUUGGAAGGGAGCCCUAGCAAUGAAUGGCACAAGAGGAGCAAUUAGAAGUUUAAAGAAACCCCACGGGCAAGCUGAGAGGAGUGUUUCCAGGCUGAGAUGGCAGAAACCAGUGCUGGAGCAGACAGGGAAAGGACCUGAAUUGCAGCACCUCCAUCUCCAAGGACUCUUUUUGGUCUUUGAUAAGUCUCCACAUAUUGUUCCAUACUAGAAUUGUGGAUAUAAUUCAGCAGGGGAGACUCUGCCCUAGCUUUGUUAGCAGGUCUAAUUUGAUGAUUAAAAAUAUUACAGAAACAUUAUUACCAGGGCUGAAAAAUCAUUUGUUUUCCAGGCUGUAUACUGUCUUUUUAAGUCUUUAUUCCAAAGCAAGGAAAAUCAGUUGGUUCAUGUUUUUCUCUUUAUAUGUACACAUCUAUUUAGCGUUUCUUGCACACACACCAGUUUUACUUUGUAUAAGCAACCAUAUUAAACAUUUUUAAAUUAUCCUUUUUUGCUGACUGUUUGAGAAUUAUCUAAUUUAAUUGUUUUAGUAUACUCUCAUAUUGAUAUUUUCAAGAAGUAAUAACAUUUCAUAAAAAAUCACCUCCCAGACAGUGCUAGAGGACUCAGAGAGAAGGACCUGUACAUCAAAAUGUUUUGGUGACAUGCAGCCCCUGAGGAAAUGGCUGGGUCUGGCAGUGAGAGCACAGGAGAGCUGGAGAGAUUCCCCUGGGUGCAGCACAGCUGAGCUACAUCUGCAGCCUGGUGGGCACACAGACCCCACCUGGGCACAUUCAGACAAAUUAAUGGUGGAGAGUAAUGCAAAUUGUGUGUUCAGAGCAUUUGCAGACCAAACUGAUCCCCUCUUGCUCCUGGAAGGAGACUUUUUCAGUUAGUUACAGUUCAUUAACUGCUGCCAUUGAGUGGUUCUUGUUUUAAUUCCUUUGAUCUAAUUCAGACAGGGAUUUUUUCUUUGUCAGCAUUCGGCCAGAGUGUAAGUUUUGGCUUACUUAAUGAAAUAUAAAGCUAAUUUACAUUAAUGGCUAUUACUGGACACCUAGAAACAUUCAGGCAGUCCAAUCACUCCAUGGUUCUUUUUCACUUGACAGGUUAAAACCUCUGAACCCAGCUUAGACCAGUAGUGCCAUGAGUCAAAUGUAAUAAAUGGAAGACUUCUAUUAAAUAAAGAGAAAUUAGCUGUAUAAAACCUCACAAUUUGUGUUACCUUUAGUGUCUCCUGCUGCUUCCUCAUGAUUGAAAGGCAACUUUGAAAAUGUCAUAUUAGAAAACACAGAGCAUUUUUUACUCAUUUUUGACACAGAAAGAUUCAGAUUAACUCAGGGAAACAAACACACAGGAAAACCCUGGGAAUCCUUGGGCAAGCUUGUUGUUCUCCCACUGUUCAUCCCUAGGGGAUCACACUUACACAGCAGCACAAAGCUGGAAGAAGCAAAACUGACCAAGAAAAACCACAGGUCAUUGCAAAGGAUGGAAACCCCAGCAUUUCCAUUCAAGUUCUGUGGCACACUCUGCUUUGGCUCAUUGUCCUGUAACAGAGGCAGAAGGGCUCUGAAAGAACAACAAUCUGCCCACUGGAAAUUUUUCCUAGUAAGAUCUCAGAUCUUGGCACCAGGCACAAUUCCAGCAUGAUCAUGCUGCAGGGUAGAGCCUUCUACCACAUGCUGAUACAGCCACAAUAAAGAAAAAUAUCAGAGUACAAACAGCCUUUGGAGUCCAUAUUUUUAGGGGGAGAGUUUAUUUAAAAAGGCAAAAAUGCUUUCAGCUAAAAUCUUGUUGGUUUUUAUAUGAUUGGGGAAGUGAAAUAAUUGUGGGAAAGGUGGAGUAUAAGGCAGAACAAUUGUUUUUAUUAUUUUAACUGUAACCACCCCAAACUAGUUUCCAGCUAAUUUCAUUGCAACUAGGCAUCUGGGAUUUUAUUGUCAUCAUUUUUAGUAGUUAAAAAUGCUUUUUCUAUCCCACUGAAGCUUCUUCCUCUGCCUCUUGAUUUCCCAGCACACUGUAAAUAUGGGACAGUAUAACAUAAAACUCCGAAGAGGCCAUUACUUAAACAAACUGAUGGGGUCAUUUUCAUUUAUUUCAUGACAACCUCCUCCACCCUUUGAGGUCAUUUUUUGAUUGUCUUCUUUUGAAGCCAGGCAAUUUGUCCCACACUCUCUGCUGUUCAUGGGCUAAUUAGAAUUUUUAAAGUAAUUGAAACACCCUUUGCAGUAUGUUGUUAAUUCCCUCCAGAUUGCUGGGAACAUUAGCUUCAGUGUUUGUUUAUUUUAACUGACUCUAAAAUAUUAAACUGUCGUGGUUUAGGAAUGGUAUUCUUCAGUUUAGUGCUCCCACUAAAACCAUGCUGCCACUUGCUCCCUUUUCUUCUCCCAUUCCUGCCCUGUGCCUGAAGAGGAGAAAUGGAAGCACAAAAGGCAAAGGUCAGGGGUUGAGAUAAGAACAAUUUACUGGAAACAGCUGAGAGAAAAGAAGUGGGACAGUAACAAUAAUAACAAAAGUGUGCAAAAGAAAGAGUUGUGACACAUGAGCAAUGCCAUGGUUGACUCUCAAAAUUAAAAGGCAAAUAUCCUGUAUGUAUGUUAGGAGAAGUUUUAUGGAUUUAUAGCUGUGUUUUACCCCCCUUGUGCUGUUAUCAGGGGUGCCCUGGGUUUGGGACAUUUGGGAGGGUCACUCGUUCCCAUGGCAGCACCUGAGCUCCAGUCAAGGUGUCAGGCAGUGAUCUCAGCACUGGGCAGGGAAGGAGGAGUGGAUGGACAG